GUCACAGAGGACUGACGGUUGUUGAAUACAAACGGACACACCGGACACACUGUUUCCCAGCUCCUGCAGCUGCCUGCUCGGUGAGGGUGAGGACUGGCACCUUCUCCAGCUCCCGAGACCCUGCAGGAUGACACCAGGCAGCUGGUUUGACUUUCUAGAUCAUAUCGUCCAGCAGCCCUCAAACUCCAGCAUGAAUCAGAAUCUCUGGAAGAUCUUAUUCAAAGACAUACUGCUGGGCUCUGCCCUGAGCUUCCUCUUUGACCAACAAGCUGAGACCUGGAGGGGAAGGAAGUGCGUUAGCCUGUUAGCCGAGGUCACACACCGAUGUCGGGCCAAUUAGAGUAACAACUGGAGCUGUUUCCCCUCCCAGCGGAGCCCCGCCCUUCUAGGAUCUUCCACAGCCUUUCCUGCCUUCCUCCCUCCCUCCCCGCAGGAACCUCCGCUCGCAGCGCCCCCCUUUCAGCCACCUGUGAGGCAGAGAAAUUUGCAUGUUCCAAUUUACUCCGCGACCCACUUUUCAGGAAGGCACCGUUUUAACCUAACGGAGGGCGAGUUUAAUCGCGGAUUUUCAGGCGGGCGCCGCAGCGCCUCCCGACACCGCCGCGGGAGCGGCGCAUCUCUGUCCAGGGAGCCUCGCUCUGCGCACGGUGGCCUGGGGCGCGGGGGAGAAGCCCCGCCGCGCCGGCGACGGUCGGGUCCCCCAGGCCGCCGGUGCGCGAUGCGAGGUGCCGUCGGAGCACUGUGUCCUCCCAUCCCGCCGCGGAAACGACUCUCCCCGAGGGGCCUGGGGUGGAGAUGGGGGCAACCGCUGCCGGCAGCCCCUCCCCCUCGAGGGUUCUCAAGCUGGGGGGGGGGGUCUUCCUACCCCCUCCCCCCCCCCCCCAAGUACAGUCUCCUUCCCAACAGGGGUCCCUCCGGCUUGUUGAGUUCUUGGGAGUCCUGGAGCCUGGAACGUGUCUCCGUGUCUGUCUGCAGGGCCCCACGGGCUUACUAAAGGCAACUAUUAGUGUCUGUUACAUCAUUAACUAGUGACAGAGCCAUGUGGGGCCCCUUCCCUUCCAUGUAUUUAGAAGGUAUUUAUCGUGGGUCUGCCAUUCCCAUUGCCCCUUGCUAGACAUUGUGGGGCAUUCAAACGUGGCAGGCACACACCUUCUGCCCUCCAGAACUUCAAGGUAAUGCUGGGGAGACCAGGACGACAGGCAGAAUCCACAAACAUUUCACUCCCCCAGGGUGGAGGCGCCUCCAGGACUGAUACAAGUUGAACACAUGUUGGCAUCUGCAGUGUGAGUAUGGAGAAAGGUCACUGGGGAGCCUGGGUGGCUAGGUCAGUUAAGCGUUGGAUUCUUGAUUUUGGCUCUGGUCACGAUCCCCUGGUCAGUGAGAUUGAGCCUCAGGGCAGAACGUGGAGCCUGCUUGGGAUUCUCUCUCUCUGCCCCUCCUUGUGCUCUCUCUCAAAAUAAAUAAAUACACUUAAAAAAAGUCACUUAUGUGGUCAGAAGAGGCUUCAGAGAGGAGGUGGGCUUGAAGUGGACUUGGGAGGGUUGGACAGGAGAGAGGCCUUUCUCUGUUGUGGGAAGGGAGUGACCUGAGGAAUGGCAUGGUGGAGGGGGCGGAGGGAGGGCUCCCAUAGGUGGAGGUGUGAGUUGGCACGUGAAACUUCCUCUCCUCCAGUAGAUACGGUCUUUACAUAGACCUUUAUACUUCAGUGACCAGCCGCCUUGGUAAGGACACAGGAUGUGCUGCCUCACACUUGGACAAAGACUGAGUCAUGCAAUUCUGUGAACUCUGGCUUUUCGGCUUUCCUCAGAGCCUUUUGGAAAAUGGCGCAAAGCCUUGGGCAGGUACAGGAGAUCCAAAGGUGGAAACAAAGCUGUCUGGAGUUUUAUGGGCAGCCUCAUAAUAGGACAGUGACAUUGAUCUUCCAGGGUGAUUUUUUUUUUUUUUUUUUUUUUUUAUUAAGAAGGCCUGGUUAGGGGCG